rnacentral:rRNA from 1 species
CCUACGGGAGGCAGCAGUGGGGAAUUUUGGACAAUGGGGGAAACCCUGAUCCAGCCAUUCCGCGUGAGUGAAGAAGGCCUUCGGGUUGUAAAGCUCUUUCGGCAGGAACGAAACGGCGGACUCUAACAUAGUCUGUCAAUGACGGUACCUGAAGAAGAAGCACUGGCUAACUACGUGCCAGCAGCCGCGGUAAUACGUAGGGUGCGAGCGUUAAUCGGAAUUACUGGGCGUAAAGCGUGCGCAGGCGGCUUUGUAAGACGGAGGUGAAAUCCCUGGGCUUAACCUAGGAACUGCGUUCGUGACUGCAAGGCUGAAGUGCGGCAGAGGGGGGUGAAAUUCCUGGUGUAGCAGUGAAAUGCGUAGAGAUCAGGAGGAACACCGAUGGCGAAGGCAGCCCCCGGGGUUGAACCUGACGCUCAUGCACGAAAGCGUGGGGAGCAAACAGGAUUAGAUCCCUUAGUAGU